UAAGGCACGCGGUGAAUGCCAAU
rnacentral:ncRNA from 3 species